UACGUAGGGGGCAAGCGUUGUCCGGAUUUAUUGGGCGUAAAGAGCGUGUAGGCGGCUUUACAGGUCCGUUGUGAAAACUCGAGGCUCAACCUCGAGACGCCGGUGGAAACCGUAAGGCUAGAGUCCGGAAGAGGAGAGUGGAAUUCCUGGUGUAGCGGUGAAAUGCGCAGAUAUCAGGAGGAACACCGGUGGCGAAGGCGGGUCUCUGGGCCAAAACUGACGCUGAGGAGCGAAAGCGUGGGGAGCGAACAGG
rnacentral:rRNA from 1 species